UACGUAGGCAGCGAGCGUUGUUCGGAGUUACUGGGCGUAAAGGGUGCGUAGGCGGUUGUUUAAGUUUGGUGUGAAAUCUCCCGGCUCAACUGGGAGGGUGCGCCGAAUACUGAAUGACUAGAGUGCGGGAGAGGAGAGUGGAAUUCCUGGUGUAGCGGUGAAAUGCGUAGAUAUCAUUUGGAACGCCAAUGGUGAAAACAGGUAGCUGGGGCUGUGCUGACGCUGAGACACGAAAGCCAGGGGAGCAAACGGG
rnacentral:rRNA from 1 species